CAUGCCGUAAACGAUGAUUGCUAGGUGUGGGGGGUCUGACCCCUUCCGUGCCGGAGUUAACACAAUAAGCAAUCCACCUGGGGAGUACGGCCGCAAGGUUGAAACUCAAAGGAAUUGACGGGGGCCCGCACAAGCAGUGGAGUAUGUGGUUUAAUUCGAAGCAACGCGAAGAACCUUACCAGGUCUUGACAUCCACAGAAUCCGGAAGAGAUUCCGGAGUGCCCUUCGGGGAACUGUGAGACAGGUGG
rnacentral:rRNA from 1 species